GGCGUAGGGGGCCAGCGUUGCUCGGAAUUACUGGGCGUAAAGGGUUCGUAGGCGGUGUGGCAAGUCGGGAGUGAAAUCUCUGGGCUUAACUCAGAGGCUGCUUCCGAAACGGCCGUGCUAGAGUGCGGGAGAGGCGAGUGGAAUUGCAGGUGUAGCGGUGAAAUGCGUAGAUAUCUGCAGGAACACCCGUGGCGAAGGCGGCUCGCUGGACCGCAACUGACGCUGAGGAACGAAAGUUAGGGGAGCAAACAGG
rnacentral:rRNA from 1 species